GGGGUCGACUGGAUUUGACAGCGAGUCUGAAUAGAUAGUAAGCAAAUCGAGCUAUGGAUCACAGCUCGUUAAUAUUAUGAUACCAAACUUUAAAUGGCGAAAAUAAAUACGCUCUUGCAGCCUAAUAACUGAAUCAUAGUAAGUUAUGGCCUAGUCCUGCAAGGCAGGAAGGCAAGAUGUCUUAGAAUAGCCCUUGUUGACGGCGAUUUAAUAUAAGACACCAUUAAAGUCAACAUAGAAAACUUAAUGCUUUGAUAAGUUUUUAAAAUUUAAAAGCUAAGUAAUACUUGGAUGGUUUUCAAUCAGAGUAUUAUCGAAAAUAAUAUGAAAACUAAAUUUGUAGAAAGCUAUUUUUUCACUUGUUUGGACGAGGGUUCGAUUCCCUCCGACUCCACUA
rnacentral:tmRNA from 1 species